rnacentral:rRNA from 1 species
AUUGAACGCUGGCGGCAUGCCUAACACAUGCAAGUCGAACGGCAGCACGGCAGUAGCAAUACUGUGGGUGGCGAGUGGCGGACGGGGUGAGGAAUACGUCGGAAUCUGCCCAGUCGUGGGGGAUAACUAGCCGAAAGGUUAGCUAAUACCGCAUACGACCGAGAGGUGAAAGCGGGGGACCGCAAGGCCUCGCGCGAUUGGAUGAGCCGACGUCGGAUUAGCUAGUUGGUGGGGUAAAGGCCCACCAAGGCGACGAUCCGUAGCUGGUCUGAGAGGAUGAUCAGCCACACUGGAACUGAGACACGGUCCAGACUCCUACGGGAGGCAGCAGUGGGGAAUAUUGGACAAUGGGCGCAAGCCUGAUCCAGCAAUGCCGCGUGUGU